UAGGGAAUCUUCCGCAAUGGACGCAAGUCUGACGGAGCAACGCCGCGUGAGUGAAGAAGGAUUUCGGUUCGUAAAACUCUGUUGUUAGAGAAGAACAGCGCAUAGAGUAACUGUUAUGCGUGUGACGGUAUCUAACCAGAAAGCCACGGCUAACUACGUGCCAGCAGCCGCGGUAAUACGUAGGUGGCAAGCGUUGUCCGGAUUUAUUGGGCGUAAAGCGAGCGCAGGCGGUCAAUUAAGUCUGAUGUGAAAGCCCCCGGCUCAACCGGGGAGGGUCAUUGGAAACUGGUUGACUUGAGUGCAGAUGAGGAGAGUGGAAUUCCAUGUGUAGCGGUGAAAUGCGUAGAUAUAUGGAGGAACACCAGUGGCGAAGGCGACUCUCUGGUCUGUAACUGACGCUGAGGCUCGAAAGCGUGGGUAGCAAACAGG
rnacentral:rRNA from 1 species